rnacentral:lncRNA from 1 species
AAGCAGAAUUCGUUACUGCCUGCGUACGAAUGCUUGAGUAUCUAUGGGAGGAGAAAAGCUCACCUGCUUAUGCCAUCUGGUACUAUGUUUGAUAUGGAGUUGAGAAGCAUGAUUGGAAUGGAAAAUCUUUGACAUCUCAGGAGUCUUGCAGACUAGAAAAAUCAUAUCCCACUGAGGAUAUAGGAGCUGCCCUAUAGGAUUGUAUCAAACAGCUGAAAAGGCAUAAAGGUGAGUUGUCGCAUUAGUGACAGUGGAUUAUAUACGGUUUAUUUAUUCCUCAAACCCCCUCCCAAAGAUUACUGUGACUCUGUUGCAGUGGUGCAGUCUUUCGAAAGGUGUCGGAGGUGGGCCAGAGUGUGAGAAAAGCCCAGAGCAUCCCAGUGCUGGUUGUACAUGUGCCGGAGACCCGAGGUGGCCUAUGGGCAACGUCAGCGGGCUCUCAGGAACUUCAACCCUGAGUAUUUGGGAACUGAGGCAAGUGCUGGGUGCCCUCCAAGAAUAUUCCCUUUCUUUAGGUGUGAAGGUUUCCGAGCUUGCAGAAGCACCAUCUCGGACUAUGGUGCAUGGCUGUGAUGUGACAAAUUUCUGCACAUCCCGUUCUCGUGACCCAAGCCAAGCUGUGCUGAUAAUGGCUCAGGAGAGAUUUGGAGGCUGCAUUAAACUAACAUAGCCCUGGCCAGAUGUACCUUUCCAGGGCUGUCCUGCAUGUUUUCCUCUGGACACCAGCGCAUGCUUCCUAUCCUGCGUUAAACAGUGUUAGAAAACCUGCUGUUCCUGGACAUGCUAAAGCUGUGCCAGGAGGAGCAACACACAGCAUCUGACUGUCUGCUCCAGGCCAAGGCAGCGUCCCGAAAGAAAAGGUACUCUGCGGCAGAUAAAUAUGCAGUGAUUUGUCUAUAGGGUAAUUCCUUUCCUGUCAGGGGUCCUGAGUCCUUCUGGUCUUUGAGUCAUUUUCCUGGCUGUUGUUCUCAUUAUCCCUCUUUUACAAUUGUCAGUGCUACUGGGUCCUGGAGUAUCUACUGUACUGCUUUUCUAACCCUCUUUCUCCAUAUUUUUGGCACGCAACCUUUUCAUUUCUUUACUUGUCCCCUGCUUGUCUUAUGAGCAAGCAGCCAUGCACCAGGCUUUUCAUUAUUUUAGGAUGAUCUGCCAUGCCCUACUCUAUUUGUCACAGCUAACAGAUCAAAUUUUUUCGCUCUUUCCUUGCACAGAUCUUACUUUACUGGCAAUAAAAUUUUGAUUCCUCUCCUCUACCCUCUCCCU